AUUGAACGCUGGCGGCAUGCUUUACACAUGCAAGUCGAACGGUAACAGGGUGCUUGCACCGCUGACGAGUGGCGAACGGGUGAGUAAUGCGUCGGAACGUGCCGAGUAGUGGGGGAUAACGCAGCGAAAGUUGUGCUAAUACCGCAUACGUACUGAGGUAGAAAGUGGGGGACCUUCGGGCCUCACGCUAUUCGAGCGGCCGACGUCUGAUUAGCUAGUAGGUGAGGUAAAGGCUCACCUAGGCGACGAUCAGUAGCGGGUCUGAGAGGAUGAUCCGCCACAGUGGGACGGAGACACGGGCCAGACUGCUACGGGAGGAAGCAGUGGGGAAUUUUGGACAAUGGGCGAAAGCUGGAUCCAGCCAUGCCGCGUGUCUGAAGAAGGCCUUCGGGUUGUAAAGGACUUUUGUCAGGGAGGAAAUCCCUAGUGCUAAUAACACUGGGGGAUGACAGUACCUGAAGAAUAAGCACCGGCUAACUACGUGCCAGCCGCCGCGGUAA
rnacentral:rRNA from 1 species